GACAGAGGGUGCAAACGUUGUUCGGAAUUACUGGGCGUAAAGCGCGUGUAGGCGGCCCUGCAAGUCGGAUGUGAAAUCCCACGGCUCAACCGUGGAAGUGCAUUCGAAACUGCAGGGCUAGAGUCCUGGAGAGGAGACUGGAAUUCAUGGUGUAGCAGUGAAAUGCGUAGAGAUCAUGAGGAAGACCAGUGGCGAAGGCGGGUCUCUGGACAGUUCCUGACACUGAGGCACGAAGGCCAGGGGAGCAAACGGG
rnacentral:rRNA from 1 species